rnacentral:rRNA from 1 species
UUUUGGGCAAUGGGCGAAAGCCUGACCCAGCAACGCCGCGUGUGGGAUGAAGGCCCUCGGGUCGUAAACCACUGUCAGGAGGAAAGAAAAGCCGGCCGGAUAAUACUCGGUCGGCCUGACGGUACCUCCAAAGGAAGCACCGGCUAACUCCGUGCCAGCAGCCGCGGUAAUACGGAGGGUGCAAGCGUUGUUCGGAAUUACUGGGCGUAAAGCGCGUGUAGGUGGUUCGGUAAGUCGAAUGUGAAAGCCCCGGGCUCAACCCGGGAAGUGCAUCCGAAACUGCCGAACUAGAGUCCCGGAGAGGAAGGCAGAAUUCCCAAUGUAGGGGUGAAAUCCGUAGAUAUUGGGAGGAAUACCGGUGGCGAAGGCGGCCUUCUGGACGGUGACUGACACUCAGACGCGAAAGCGUGGGGAGCAAACAG